GGGCUAAUGGUCUAGUGGUAUGAUUUCUGUUUUGCAAUGCCUUGUCUUACAAUACAGACGGUCCCGCGUUCAAUCCGCGGUUAGUCCA